rnacentral:rRNA from 1 species
AUUGAACGCUGGCGGCAUGCCUUACACAUGCAAGCCGAACGGCAGCACGGGUGCUUGCACCUGGUGGCGAGUGGCGAACGGGUGAGUAAUACAUCGGAACGUACCUUAUCGGGGGGGAUAACGCAGCGAAAGCUGUGCUAAUACCGCAUACGCCCUGAGGGGGAAAGCGGGGGAUCGCAAGACCUCGCGCGAUUAGAGCGGCCGAUGCCUGAUUAGCUUGUUGGUGGGGUAAAAGCCCACCAAGGCGACGAUCAGUAGCUGGUCUGAGAGGACGAUCAGCCACACUGGGACUGAGACACGGCCCAGACUCCUACGGGAGGCAGCAGUGGGGAAUUCUGGACAAUGGGGGCAACCCUGAUCCAGCAAUGCCGCGUGAGUGAAGAAGGCCUUCGGGUUGUAAAGCUCUUUUGUCAGGGAAGAAACACCGGCUCUAACACAGUCCGGGAAUGACGGUACCUGAAGAAGAAGCACCGGCUAACUACGUGCCAGCAGCCGCGGUAA